ACAAGCCCAGGCAGCUAUUCAAAUGCAAGUUGCAACCCCAAAUGCGAGGGUGGCCUGACCAAAAGGAGCCACCCGGCUCCUGGGAGAAGCGAGACCCGUGCUGCGGUUCUCAUCCUUCUCUGUUCUUCCUUUUCUCUUUCUCUUCUCCGGUUCCUGAUUUAGCUGGGAGCUGUUUAUUUAUGGCUGCAAAUGUGUGUGUGCGAGGGAGAGGGAGAAUUGAUCUUUGCCUGGAUUUAAAGAUGGAGCCGAAGGCGCUGGAGGGAAUUUGGGUUUGUGCGUCUGGCUCAAACCCUGCGCGCCAAAGGGGGCCGUUUGGCACGGAGCCCGAGGUCUUUCUUUCUCGCACCCCUCACCUCGCGACCCUGCAGGAAUCCGCGGGCCCAGGAGCGGCCUGACUGACCCACCUGCCCCGGGCUGAGCUGUCGAGAAAGGCUUCAUGGAGGGGGCCAACCCGUCCCGGUCUUUAAAAUGAGCACAAUAAAAGGGGGGCAAAUCCUCCAACGCGAACCUGAUCGCUUGUCACAGAAGCAACUUGCCAUGAAAUCCGCUAAUGCGCCGCGACUCGCCCACCGGGAUAAAUACCCGCCGGCGUUGGUGUAACCAGCGCACGCCCAAUACACUCGUAUUCCUCGAAUGCGCUCAUCGCCGGCCACACUUGGAGAAUCCAGUGCAGAGGUUUCCGAAACCCCAUUUUCCUGAUUGCAGCCCAGACUCUGGAAACCCACGAACCUUCGGGGGAAGGGAGCCUGUUCCGGGCCAAGCGGAGGGUCAGGCGCGAGCGCGGGCCAAGCAGAGGGUCAGGAGCGAGCGCGCACAUGCACACACACACGCGCGCGCACACACACAUACGCACACGGAUGUAUACACGCACUAGGACUGCGAUGGAAGAUGCAGGGUGGCUGGACGAGGAUCUGGGAGGCUACGACUGAGGGAAGGCUCUGGCGCUGCCAGACCUGUGCAACCUCUAAAGCAGUGUCAUCCUUAGAGUUAUUUAGGAGAACAAGACCUGGGACAUGGGUUUGAGUUAAAGAAAUUAGGGGCAAGGUACAGAUGGCCCAGCACAUCUUUAGAAUGAAGCAGAACUGAGAACUGAGGAAGCUAGACCCGCACUGCUGUAAACUGAAGGUUAGGAAAUAUAAUACCCUCACACACAGCAGCAGCACAUGUCUCUGAUGGCUGGCGAGCUCAUCCCUGAGCAAGGGGUCUCUGGCCUCGCCACUGAGCUUCACAAAUGCCCUUUCAGCCUCCUCCAGGUUUUGCCAGGCAAAUGAAAUGAGCAGAACACCAUAGUAAAUUAUUUUGUUCAGCCCUCUGUCUUUUUAUGAGAAUAAAAGGCAACACUUUGUCAUUUUUAAUCGUAUAAGCAGACAAUAAACCUAAUUUCGAUAUUGA